ACAUGCCUAAAACUUAGCGUUAAUGCAUUGGAUCCCUUUAGAACUCCGCAGUUAAGCGCACUCAGGAUAGAAUAGUACUGGGAUGGGUGACCACUCGGGAAGUCCUAGUAUUUUACAUGCC
rfam:Picea glauca, whole genome shotgun sequence.